ensembl:lncRNA
GUAAAAUAGGGCCAGAAGUGUGCAAAAUAGAUUUGAAGCAGAGCUUCCAAAUCCUGGUUGCUUUUCCUUUGUCUUUCACAGAACCAUAGUAUGGUUUGAGUUGGAAGUGACCCUUAAAGGCCACCUAGUCCAACUCCCCUGCAAUGAACAGGGACACCUACAGCUCCAUCAGGUGCUCAGAGCCCCAUCCAGCCUGGCCUUGAGUGUCUCCUUGAGAUGGGCAGAGCAUCCACCACAUCUCUGGACAACUUGUUACAGAUGUGUGGAACAUUUCAUGGGAUUUGAAUCUAACCCCUACUGCUGUGAUGCUCUUCUUAAUCCAUAUCCUCAGUCUUAGGAAUUAUUCCUUCCUACAAGAAAAGGGCUCAGGAUUUUAUCCACACCUGACCUCAUCCCACCAUGUCUUUGGGAUGUGUGUUCUGGCACUUCCUCCUGGGCAUCUUGCGGAAACUCAGCUCGGGGAAGUUCAGUUCUGGUUCCUCAUCUCCUCUGCUGUUCUCAUGGCUCGAAGAGGAGAACGUGCUUUUAUGUGCAUAGGUAUAUACUGGAUCUUUUCUGUUUUUGUAUUUCUGUAUAAAGUCUGCUUCCAACUUCAACAUCCAGGGCGCAAGUUACACAUUUUGCACGGAGCUACUUUGUAUGAUAACACCUCCCUCUCUGAUAUUUUGCUCUGUGACGGUUAUGAUGAGUGCUGUCUUCCAUGUUAUUAAAUGACAACAUGAACAUAUGCUGGCUUGUCACUGUAGCAAACAAUGACUUGUAGCUCUCUUGAAAAUUCACAUGCUUUUUAUUGCUCCUUGAGAAAAUAGCACACAUCACUGCUGCAGUUCUGGUCGUUUUCCUGAUUGCUGGAGGAUUUCCCCUCUAUUACCUCUGCAUUUUCUGUGUUGCCAGGUGUGAAAUGAACAGAAUCAUAAAGUCAGGCUGGUUUGGAGAAUAAAAACAGCAGCACAGCCUGCGCUGAUGGGAUAAGAGCAUACCGAGAGUGGAAAAGUGCUGGGAGCUAUUGGCAAUUCAACACAGCAGCAGCACCUGUGUGCCGGCCGCACCUGCCUGCGGGGCUCCAGUUCUGCCUGGGGCAGCUCCUCCCGCUCAGUCGUCGUGGAACUUCGGGAGGUUCGGGACCUGCGAACGGCGAGGUGAGAAAACGGUGGGAGCCGCUCCGCAGCAAAAUGAGACGGGGCAGAACACCUGUGCUGAACAGGUGUUGAAAGGCACGAGCCGACUGCCAGCGGGCUGCAACCUGCCCGGGCAAAGCCCGCUCUUGCACGUACACGCAGCUCUGAUGGGUGCCCCCUCCGCAGCGAUAAGGAGCCUUUAACGGGCCACAGGGAACUCCAGCGUUUGCACUGGUGUGUCGCAGCUGCGAUACAUCUCCGCCGUGAAGAGGUGCGUGCUGCCAGACAGCGGUGAUGCAGAUGGCUGUGCGGUGAGGGGUGUUUGUCUCUUCUAAGGUUGGGCCCAUAGAAAUCAAGGGACGAGUGCAAAUUCUCGAGUUGAACGUCCGGUUGCAGCUCUGCACGCUCCAUUUGCAAAUUCCCG